UCACAAUAGAAAUGCUCUCCGAUAAAUAGAAAACAGGUACUUUAUUUAUAACUUGUAACAAGCAUGGAAGUAAAUACAUCUCACGCAAACACAAGUCAAUCGUAAGCCAUCAUACUUAACUAUAGCAUAGGUAAAAAUAAGAAAGUAUAGGUAGCCAAAUGUAUUGAAAGGCAAGCCCCUCCAGCCUUUUUAAUGGCUAACAAACUUGGUCAUCUGUUUCCCCAAUGGAUAGUAAUAUCCUCAAUAUAAUUUAAGCUCCUAGAACACAUACAUGUUUGUUUUGCCUACAACACUAUCUCUAGCACUUAGCAGAUAGUAGUCCUCCACAAUCACUAAACAAAGAAUAAUGACAGAAAACUAGGCAUCUAGAGUGACAUUUUUUUAAAAAAGCAACAGAAGGCAUAAAAAAAACAUGAAAAUUAGUAAAUUGGGGUUGGAUGCACAUGACAGAAAACUUCAAAAUAACAAUGCCUUAAGUAAGUUAAUUAUUUUUCUCUCAUAUGAGAGAAGAAUGAAGGUAUGUAGUGCAGAGGAAGUGUGGCAACUUUUCAUAUCAUAAGGAUCCAGGCUCCCAUCUUUCUGCUUUGCCAUUCCCAGUUCAUGGGGUCUAAUCACAAAAAUCACCUCAGGGUUCCAGAAUGGCCACAAGUACAUUAUAUGCAGGAGUAAGAAAGAAGUGAAGAGCAAACUCCUCCCUAAUGUGGAAAUUUCUAGAACAUUCAUCCACUUCAAUUUACAUCUCAUGGCCAGAAUGUGGUCAUCUAUUCAAAUCUAGAUAUAAGGAAAGUAGGGAAAUGGAGUAUUUUAUCUGAAUGGCUAAAACUUGCAUCUGUUCAUAAGGGAGGUGAGUCAGGUGUUUGAAGCCCAUAUGGGCAACUUAGAACGUGUAUCAAAAUAAAAAUUUUAAAAGGGAGUAG
rnacentral:lncRNA from 1 species